rnacentral:pre_miRNA from 1 species
CAAAUACUCCCUCCGUCCGGAAAUCCUUGUCAUCAAAAUGGAUAAAAGGAAAUGUAUCUAGACGUAUUUUAGUUUUAGAUACAUCUCUUUUUAUCCAUUUUGAUGACAAGUAUUUUCGGACGGAGGGAAUAGAAA